rnacentral:rRNA from 1 species
UAAUGCUUGGGAAUCUGCUAUGGAGGGGGAUAACUACGGGAAACUGUAGCUAAUACUGCGUAGAAUCGGAAGAUGAAAGUGCGGGACCGCGAGGCCGCAUGCCAUGAGAUGAGCCCAAGUGGGAUUAGGUAGUUGGUGGGGUAAAGGCCUACCAAGCCUGCGAUCUCUAGCUGGCCUGAGAGGAUGGCCAGCCACACUGGAACUGAGACACGGUCCAG